UACGGGGGGGGCAAGCGUUGUUCGGAAUUACUGGGCGUAAAGCGCGUGUAGGCGGCUCUUCAAGUCGGGUGUGAAAGCUCCAGGCUUAACCUGGGAAUUGCGUUCGAUACUGUUGAGCUAGAGUGUGGAAGGGGCUACUGGAAUUCCGUGUGUAGCGGUGAAAUGCGUAGAUAUACGGAGGAACACCUGCGGCGAAGGCGGGUUGCUGGGCCGACACUGACGCUGAAGCGCGAAAGCCAGGGGAGCGAACGGG
rnacentral:rRNA from 1 species